GUAUUUCCUUUUCAACCGUGGAAAUACUUACACUCACUGUAGUGGUAGUUUCUGUAGCUGUUGUAAUGAGCGUUGGGGUUAAACACAGUUGGUCUUUUAAAACAGUUGGUGAUUCGUGUGUUAGAUUAUUUUGUUUUUUAUUUACAUUAAAAAUAUCAUAAUAUGUAGUACUUUUAGACAUUUCAUUAUUUAUUAUUAUUUUAUUAUUAAGGCUCACCAACGAUUAAAGAAUAUUUUAAAAAUACGAGAUAUAAAAAUAUAAAAUAAUUAGGGAGUACCUAACCAGUAGCUACUAUUAAAACAGAUUAACACAUUAGUUAUAACGGCGGCGGCGGCGGCGGCGGUGGACUUGUUUACAGUGCGACGCGUGUUACGUCGUGUGGGACUAUGCUGCGGACUGGUAACUGACGGUUUAAUUUUUCUGAUAUAUAUAGAUGCGAGAUAACGCUCUCGAUUGUCCUCGAAUAAUCUUAAAUAUAUUAUAACGUUAUCGAUUAUAUAAUGUUUCUCGAAGGUUCUCGAUAAGCACUAACGUACGGGAACAUUCGCGAAUAAGUACUGUACAAUUAGUAAAUAUAUAAUAUAUCAUAUUAUAUUUUCACAUAAGACGACAAAAUUUUGGGGGACUAAGUCCCCCCCCAAGCCCCCCCCCCCCCAUUUCCGCCUAUGACUAUUCAACUACAUUAAGUUAAUUAGCAGCUGGAGUCGCUGUUAAUUAUUCUUUCGGACCAUCCAUCCAAGCCGUCUACACACAAGAGAACUGUGAGUCGAUAAAGAAAUUAUUGUAAACCUUUUUCCUGAUAUAUGUUUUUUCAAUUGUCAAAUCACUUCGUGAUAUAAUUUAUCCAAAAAAGAAAAUAUUGUCAUCUUGAAUAUUAAAUAUUUUACUGUAUUUUCAAUAAACAGAUAAUAAUAAUUUAUAUUUGAACCAAAAACUUUGUGUCGCAUUCUUUUAUUAUUAUUUCAAUCUACACAAUGUAUUUUUCAUAACGUCUAGCAGAUAUAUAUUAAAAGAUGUUACAAGCCAUCUAAUUGUAAUGCGUACAAUAGACUGUAGAAGGAUAGACGUUUAGUAUACCUAAAAUAGAUUAUGUGUGUUUACUGGGUUAUUUUUUAAUUUAAUUUAGUAAUUGUACACAUAAUUAUUUGUUAAAUAUUUUAUUUAAUUAAGCAAAUAUGUAGUAUUAUAUAGACACAUUACAGUCUCCCUUAAAAAAAAUAAUAAAAUAAUAUUUUUACUAUUUACUGAAUAAAUAGUUUAAUGUUUUAGAUACUUGAUCCUCCUUUGAAUGUUCAACGAAAUUAAAUUGAAAAUACAACUGGUGCAAGCAUGUAGUCAUUGCAGUCUAUACCUGAUGAUACUACAUUGAGUGUUGGACCAAAUGAAAUUUAAAAUAUGCAGUUAUGUAAGACUGCAAGUCUUCAUUACAAAUGGAAAAUGAAAUGUUGAGAAAGGAAAACGACUGUUUAAAAGAGCAAAUGAGCAGUUUCUUAAAUAUCUAGA